AUGGCGCGGCUGGUGGCACCGCCGCCUCGGCAGGUGAUGGCUGCUGCCAUUGAGUCUGCAAGCUUUGAGGAGGAACAGCUUCCUAAUAAGAGAGAAAGUAUGAUCUGGAAGCCCAGAAAAGAAUGUUUGCUGAAGAACAUUCCAAAUGUCCUUGAUAGUGAGCCUGAAGAAAGUGAAUUCUCUGAUAUCUCUCAAAAUGAGAAUGAUGUUAGUGGCUCUCCUGUUGACUGUGUCCGUAUACAUUCUGACCUGGAAGACUUAGAUGAUGAUGUCUCCGGUAUGCCUGAGGCUGUAACUUUUCUAGAGCUGCAGACUGCUUCUGUGUACAAAAUAGAGGAGGACUGGGAUAAAGAACUGGAGGAAUCUGAAUGUAAUCCUUAUGCGUUGUAUAUUUCCAGUCUGACUGAUUUCAGUGCCCUGUUCCUAUCAUAACAUGCACAGUGUGAGUAUUGG
rnacentral:lncRNA from 1 species